rnacentral:rRNA from 1 species
CACAUGCAAGUCGAACGAUGAUCCCAGCUUGCUGGGGGAUUAGUGGCGAACGGGUGAGUAACACGUGAGUAACCUGCCCUUAACUCUGGGAUAAGCCUGGGAAACUGGGUCUAAUACUGGAUAUGACCUUCCAUCGCAUGGUGGUUGGUGGAAAGCUUUUUGUGGUUUUGGAUGGACUCGCGGCCUAUCAGCUUGUUGGUGGGGUAAUGGCCUACCAAGGCGACGACGGGUAGCCGGCCUGAGAGGGUGACCGGCCACACUGGGACUGAGACACGGCCCAGACUCCUACGGGAGGCAGCAGUGGGGAAUAUUGCACAAUGGGCGAAAGCCUGAUGCAGCGACGCCGCGUGAGGGAUGAAGGCCUUCGGGUUGUAAACCUCUUUCAGUAGGGAAGAAGCGAAAGUGACGGUACCUGCAGAAGAAGCGCCGGCUAACUACGUGCCAGCAGCCGCGGUAAUACGUANGGCGCAAGCGUUAUCCGGAAUUAUUGGGCGUAAAGAGCUCGUAGGCGGUUUGUCGCGUCUGCCGUGAAAGUCCGGGGCUCAACUCCGGAUCUGCGGUGGGUACG